rnacentral:rRNA from 1 species
GUCUAUGGCCAUGCUGCCCUGAACAAGCCCGAUCCUGUCUGAUCUUGGAAGCUAAGCAGGGUCAGGCCUGGUUAGUACUUGGAUGGGAGACCAUCUAGGAAGACCAAGUGCUGUAGGCA